CAUGACUCCAGAAUCUUUCGGGCCUCUGAAAUCUAUCAGUGCCUAUCACAAGGUGAAUUCUCUGGUGUGUUGCUGGGAGACAGGGGGUAUGGCUGCCAGCCUUUUCUCCUGACACCUUUCACAGACCCCCAGGAAGCACAGCAGGCCUACAACCAUGCCCAUGCCAGGACCAGGGCCAUAGUUGAAAUGACCUUUGGCCUCCUGAAGGCACGCUUUCACUGCCUUCACAAAUUAAGGGUCAGCCCUGUUAGGGCAUGUGAUAUUACUGUGGCUUGUGCUGUCCUCCACAAUGUGGCCUGCCUGAGGAAGGAGAGGGCCCCCAGAGUGCCACCAGCCAUGGACUGGGACAAUCCGGCAAUCUUCCCUGAUGACGACAGUGGUCGGCUGCUGAGGGACCAAUAUGUGUUGAAUUAUUUUAGUUAGUAUGUGUGCUUUCAAUUUUGGUUAAAUAUGUCCUGCGGUGGCAGAGGAAUUUGUUUUUUUUUGGGUUCGUUUUUUUACGAAUUUGGCCUCUUAUGAUGUUUGUGCGGUAUACUGUGUGUAAUACAAGGCUGCAGGGAGGCUACUGCAUCCAUUCAUUUGUCUGUUCAGUUGAUGUGUAUGGAUUUGUCCUGCAUUUAUUUUAGUGUGCAGACAUGCAGGGUGUGUUAUAUACAGACCUUUGAAUGUGUAUGUAUCAUUUUGUAUAAUAUGCUUGGAUUCUGUGCUUUCCAUCUUGUAGAGUCACUGUGACUUCAGUUUCGAAAGGAGCUGAUGGUUUACCUGCUUUGUUUUGUCCUUAUUCAAUAAAGGAACAUAAUGUUA